GAUUAGAUACCCCACUAUGCUUAGCCCUCAACAUAGACAGCACACACACAAUACUGCCCGCCUGAGAACUACAAGUGAAAAACUAGAAACUCAAAGGACUUGGCGGUGUCCCAUACCGACCUAGAGGAGCCUGUCCUAUAAUCGAUAAUCCACGUUACACCUCACCACCCCUUGCAAUUCAACCUAUAUACCGCCGUCGCCAGCCUACCUUGUGAAAGAAACCAUAGUAAGCUAAAUAGUUAAUAACUAACACGUCAGGUCAAGGUGUAGUAUAUGGGAUGGAAGAGAUGGGCUACACUUUCUAUUGCAGAACAUACGAAUAGCACGGUGAAACCUCUGCUUGAAGGCGGAUUUAGUAGUAAGAUCAACAAGAAACUUUAUCUGAAACCCGCUCUGGGACGCGCACAC
rnacentral:rRNA from 1 species